rnacentral:rRNA from 1 species
CCUACGGGCGGCAGCAGUGGGGAAUAUUGGACAAUGGGGGCAACCCUGAUCCAGCCAUGCCGCGUGUGUGAAGAAGGCCCUCGGGUUGUAAAGCACUUUCAGUGAGGAAGAACGCCUGGUGGUUAAUACCCAUCAGGAAAGACAUCACUCACAGAAGAAGCACCGGCUAACUCCGUGCCAGCAGCCGCGGUAAUAUGGAGGGUGCGAGCGUUAAUCGGAAUUACUGGGCGUAAAGCGCGCGUAGGUGGCUUGAUAAGCCGGUUGUGAAAGCCCCGGGCUCAACCUGGGAACGGCAUCCGGAACUGUCAAGCUAGAGUGCAGGAGAGGAAGGUAGAAUUCCCGGUGUAGCGGUGAAAUGCGUAGAGAUCGGGAGGAAUACCAGUGGCGAAGGCGGCCUUCUGGACUGACACUGACACUGAGGUGCGAAAGCGUGGGUAGCAAACAGGAUUAGAUACCCCUGUAGUC